UUUUCUCUUCAGAAAUCCCCCACUUAACACAAAAAUCACGCGUUUUCUCUUCGACAAUCCCCCAUUUAAGCGAAAAAAUCACGCAUUUGCUCUUCGAGAAUCCCCCAUUUGACCCAAAAAUCACGCGUUUUCUCUUCGGAAAUUCCCCAUUUAAGCAAAAAUCACGCGUUUUCUCUUCGACAAUCCCCCAUUUAACCAAAAAAUCACGCGUUUUCUCUUCGGAAAUUCCCCAUAUAAGCAAAAAUCACGCGUUUUCUCUUCGACAAUCCCCCAUUUAACCCAAAAAUCACGCAUUUUCUCUUCACAAAUCCCCCAUUUAAACCCGAAAAUCACGCGUUUUCUCUUCGAGAAUCCCCCAUUUUAGUGAAAAUCACGCGUUUUCUCUUCGAGAAUCCCCCAUUUAAGAGAAAAUCACGCGUUUUUUCUUUGAGAAUCCCCCACUUAAGCUGAAAAUCACGCGUUUUCUCUUCGCAAAUCCACCAUUUAGCCCGAAAAUCAUGCGCUUCCUAUUCGCAAAUCCUACAUUUAAGUGAAAAUCACGCGUUUUCUCUUCGAGAAUCCCCCAUUUGACCCAAAAAUCACGCGUUUUCUCUUCGGAAAUUCCCCAUUUAACCCGAAAAUCACGCGUUUUCUCUUCGACAAUCCCCCAUUUAACCAAAAAAUCACGCAUUUUCUCUUCACAAAUCCCCCAUUUAAACCCGAAAAUCACGCGUUUUCUCUUCGAGAAUCCCCCAUUUUAGUGAAAAUCACGUGUUUUCUCUUCAAGAAUCCCCCAUUUAACCCGAAAAUCACGCGUUUUCUCUUCAAGAACCCCCCAUUUAACCCAAAAAUCACAUGUUUUCUUUUUGAGAAUCCCCCAUUUAAGCAAAAAUCACACGCUUCCUCUUUGCAAAUCCUUCAUUUAAGCGAAAAUCUGGUGGUUACUCUUCGAGAAUCCCCCAUUUGACCCGAAAAUCACGCGUUUUCUCUUCGAGAAACCCCCAUUAACCCGAAAAUCACACGUUUUCUAUUCGGAAAUCUAUUGUUUAACCCAAAAAAUCACGCGGUCUUUCUUUGCAAAUCCCCCAUUUAAGCAAAAAUCAAGCAUUUUCUCAUCGGAAAUCCCCCAUUUAAGCGAAAAUCACGCGAUUUCUCUUCGAGAAUCCCCCAUUUAGACCGAAAAUCACGCGUUUUCUCUUUGACAAUCCCCCAUUUAAGAGAAAAUCACGCGUUUUCUCUUUGACAAUCACCCAUUUAACUUGCAAAUCACACGUUUUCUCUUUGGAAAUCCGCCAUUUAACUGAAAAUCACGCGUUUUCUCUUCGAGAAUCCCCCAUUUAAGCCGAAAAUCACGCGUUUUCUCUUUGGGAAUCCCCCAUUUAACCGAAAAAUCACGCGUUUUCUCUUCGCAAAUCCCCCAUUUAAGCAAAAAUCACGCCAUUUUCUCAUCGGAAAUCCCCCAUUUAAGCGAAAAUCACGCGAUUUCUCUUCGAGAAUCCCCCAUUUAGACCGAAAAUCACGCGUUUUCUCUUUGACAAUCCCCCAUUUAAGAGAAAAUCACGCGUUUUCUCUUUGACAAUCACCCAUUUAACUUGCA
rnacentral:lncRNA from 1 species